UCCAGGUUACCCACCGUGCCGCUUAGGG
rnacentral:sRNA from 1 species